AUUGAACGCUGGCGGCAUGCCUUACACAUGCAAGUCGAACGGCAGCGGACCUUCGGGUGCCGGCGAGUGGCGAACGGGUGAGUAAUAUAUCGGAACGUACCUUUCAGUGGGGGAUAACGUAGCGAAAGUUACGCUAAUACCGCAUAUUCUGUGAGCAGGAAAGCAGGGGAUCGCAAGACCUUGCGCUGAUUGAGCGGCCGAUAUCAGGAUUAGGCCUAGUUGGUGAGGUAAUGGCUCACCAAGGCGACGAUCUGUAGCGGGUCUGAGAGGAUGAUCCGCCACACUGGAACUGAGACACGGUCCAGACUCCUACGGGAGGCAGCAGUGGGGAAUUUUGGACAAUGGCGCAAGCCUGAUCCAGCCAUGCCGCGUGAAGUGAAGAAGGCC
rnacentral:rRNA from 1 species